GAGGGUAUAGCUCAGUGGUAGAGCACAUGCUUAGCAUGCACAAGGUCCUGGGUUCGAUCCCCAGACCCUCC
rnacentral:tRNA from 1 species